GUAGGUGGCAAGCGUUGUCCGGAAUUAUUGGGCGUAAAGCGCGCGCAGGUGGUUCUUUAAGUCUGAUGUGAAAGCCCCCCGGCUCAACCGGGGAGGGUCAUUGGAAACUGGGGAACUUGAGUGCAGGAGAGGAAAGUGGAAUUCCACGUGUAGCGGUGAAAUGCGUAGAUAUGUGGAGGAACACCAGUGGCGAAGGCGACUUUCUGGCCUGUAACUGACACUGAGGCGCGAAAGCGUGGGGAGCAAACAGGAUUAGAUACCCUGGUAGUCCACGCCGUAAACGAUGAGUGCUAAGUGUUGGGGGGGUUUCCCGCUCCUCAGUGCUGCAGCUAACGCAUUAAGCACUCCGCCUGGGGAGUACGGUCGCAAGACUG
rnacentral:rRNA from 1 species